GGGAGAUUCGUCUAACGGUUAGGACAAGGGAUUCUCAUUCCCUAAAUAGGAGUUCGAUUCUCCUAUCUCCUA
rnacentral:tRNA from 1 species